UACGGGGGGGGCAAGCGUUGUUCGGAAUUACUGGGCGUAAAGGGCUCGUAGGUGGCCAACUAAGUCAGACGUGAAAUCCCUCGGCUUAACCGGGGAACUGCGUCUGAUACUGGAUGGCUUGAGUUUGGGAGAGGGAUGCGGAAUUCCAGGUGUAGCGGUGAAAUGCGUAGAUAUCCGGAGGAACACCGGUGGCGAAGGCGGCUUCCUGGACCGAUUACUGACGCUGAGGCGCGAAAGCUAGGGGAGCAAACGGG
rnacentral:rRNA from 1 species